ACGGGAGGCAGCAGUGGGGAAUAUUGGGCAAUGGGCGAAAGCCUGACCCAGCAACGCCGCGUGAAGGAAGAAGGCCUUCGGGUUGUAAACUUCUUUUACCAGGGACGAAGGACGUGACGGUACCUGGAGAAAAAGCAACGGCUAACUACGUGCCAGCAGCCGCGGUAAUACGUAGGUUGCAAGCGUUAUCCGGAAUUACUGGGUGUAAAGGGUGUGUAGGCGGAGAAGCAAGUCAGGCGUGAAAUUUAUGGGCUCAACCCAUAAACUGCGCUUGAAACUGUUUCCCUUGAGAGUGGGAGAGGUAAACGGAAUUCCUGGUGUAGUAGUGAAAUGCGUAGAUAUCAGGAGGAACACCGGUGGCGAAGGCGGUUUACUGGACCACAACUGACGCUGAGACACGAAAGCGUGGGGAGCAAACAGGAUUAGAUACCCUGGUA
rnacentral:rRNA from 1 species